rnacentral:rRNA from 1 species
GAUGAACGCUGGCGGCGUGGAUAAGGCAUGCAAGUCGAGUGGGUUUAGACCCACGGCGAACGAGGUAGUAACACGUAGGUACGCACCCCUAAGUCGGGCAUAACUAGUCGAAAGAUUAGAUAAUUCUCGAUAGUCUCUUUUUGAGUAAAGAUUUAUCGCUUAGGGAGCGGCCUGCGGGAUAUCAGCUUGUUGGUAGGGUAAAGGCCUACCAAGGCUAUGACGUCUAGGGGAGCUGAGAGGCUGACCCCCACCGAUGGAACUGCGACACGGUCCAUACACCUACGGGUGGCUGCAGUCGAGAAUCUUCCGCAAUGGGCGCAAGCCUGACGGAGCGACGCCGCGUGGUUGAUGAAGUUCUUAGGGAUGUAAAGACCUUUUAUGAGGGAGGAAGUUUAUUGACGUUACCUCAUGAAUAAGGGGUUGCUAAACUCG